GCAAUAAAUUUAUUCCUUAUCAUUCAAAAAGAAAAUUUACACUUUACAAAAGUAACUUUGAGCCAAACUGUCACACCCCGGUCCCGACGUCGGCGGGUUUUAAGCACCGGACGCCGUUUCCGAGGCAUGAACAAGUGUUACAAAGCGAAAUAAAAUAAAAACACUAUCUUUUAGGCUCGUCGGCUACCCUUUCCCGGCUCGAUCAAAUCUAAGUACUUCUCUGCAAAAAAUAUUCGAGAUGGGUGGGUGAGCAUAACCACGCGCUCAGUGAGUAGACCAAUGUAAUAUGCCCGCAAAGCCAUGUCAUUUUACACACGCUACAAAAUACUUAUAUCGUAUACACAUCGAGUCACGCAAUUCAUCAUAUCGCAUAAUCCAUUCUUAUUGGAUAUCCUUCAAUUUAGUGAUCCCCACAGGAACCUAAUGACCUUCAAGUCCUAUACCUCCGUGUGUCACAUCCUUACUUCGGCAUAACCAAUCAAGAAGUUCACAUGUUCCAUGACUAGUCAAACAAUAGAUCCAAUAUAUAAACUCCACAUAUUUCGCAAAUCGACAUGCUUCACUCAAAAACAAAAAGAUAUUUUGAAAAAGAUAAAAUCAUGCUUUUCGACGAAUUUGAUAGCAAAUAAGAAUAUUUGAAACAUAUUACACAAAUCCACUCAUCUCGACAAAGCGAAACCCCACCACGAAUACCGAUCGUAAACCGAGCCUCUUAAAACGAGCCAUCUAGAAUCACCGUUGGAUCUAGCUCAAACUUCAAAGACAGGAAGAGGACAUCGAUACAAACCCGUAGCCCUUCACGGAUUCGAAAUCAAAGUUACGGAUCAAAAGUUAUGAUCCACUGAAGUUUUAGUCGUAAUUCUAGAGAGAGAAACAACCGGAGAGAAAAAGUCUCUCUGAAUUUUUGUGGAGAAAAAACUGAUCAAGUCAGCUAUAUAUACACAAGAGUUAAGCCGACGUAGUGAGGCGGCUAGUGGGCUUGAUCAGUAAGUGAGGGACACUUGUCAAAGAGGGAACAAAACACCCUAACCUUGUGUAACACAUGUCAAAGAAUGAACAAAUGGCAAAUGACUAACCAAUUUGCCGAUCACACCAUCCUCCCACCUACCAACCAAAUCAACUAACAACCAAAGAGAUGCUGCCACGUCAGCACUAGAUUGGAUUUCGCCGGAAGUUCGAUGAAACUUAAAAAACGUUAAAAAUAGCUUCAGACUCUAAAAAUUUACCGAAAAAUACGACGAACUCGUGGUGACCUCUACUUUCUAUUUCUAAGAAAAAAAAAUCAAUUUUGAGAAAUUUUAAAAAUUCGUGAUGUUACACAAACAAAUUUUAUUCCAAAAACAAAUUUCAAAAAAACUGGUCCAAAAAAUCAAAUCGCCAACUAAAGAGUAAACCUUUCGAUAAAAGUAAAACUAAAUGUUUUAAAUGUAAUAAGACUGGUCACUUUGUAAAUAAUUGUCCAGUUAAAAGUAUCAUUAAUCAACUCAAAAUUAGUCAAGAAGAAAAAGAAAAACUAAUACAAACUUUGGAAUUACGAAAUACUGAUUCAGAAAAUGAAAUAAGUGAGGAUGACAUCACAUUGAUGGAAUCUUCUUCUGAAUCCAAUGAACAUUCUUCCCCAGAUAUUACUUUUGGGUGUAAGGAUGCAUGUAAUUGUAAAACAAUAAAUGUUCUUUCCAAACAGGAAGAACAAGAAGAACUAUUAAUUGAUUUAAUAAGUAAAAUAGAUAAUCCUGAGCUUAAAGCAGAGUACCUCAAAAAAUUAAAAAAAUUAAUUACCCAAGAAAAUAUAGUUAAUCCUCCCUCACAAAAAAUUAGCUUUACUACAACUUUCGAUAAAUUUUCUACUAGUAAAAAGGAAAUAACGAUCCAAGACCUACAACAUGAAGCAAAAACAAUCAAGAGUCAUAUACAUGCUUUACAACAAACACAUUUAGAACUUACAAAUGACAAUAAAGAAAUUAAACAAGAAAUAAACUUACUAAAAACAAAUAAUCAAUUUCUUAAAUUACAGGAUCCCCCUGAAAAUCCUUUUCCAAAUCCUUUCCCAGAAAAUAUUAAUGAAGCUGAAACCUCUGAAAACAAUAGUAUUAGUACCAUACGCCAAAUCCAACUUAAAAAAUGGUAUACUACUAUCCAACUUAAAAUAAAAGAUUUCCAAAUAACAAUAACAGCCCUUAUUGACUCCGGUGCAGAUCUUAAUUGCAUCCAAGCUAGAAGGCUUAAUACCUUCAAAAUAUUUUGAAAAAACAAAAGAGUCUUUACGAUCAGCUAAUGGAAUAAAAAUGGAUAUUAAAUACGAAAUCCCUAAAGCCCAUAUCUGCCAAAACAAUGUUUGUUUCAAAACAUCGUUUGUCUUGGUAAAAAAUUUAACUAAUAAAGUAAAUUUAGGACUACCUUUCGUUACUUUAAUUUACCCUUUCAAAACUGAAUAUGAUGGUAUUAUUACCUACCCUUUUGAUGAACCCGUUAAAUUUACUUUUCUUUCAAACCUCGAAAUCCAUACUCUAAAAGCAUUUCAAGAAAAUAAUAUUUCAAAAACUCUCAGUUGCAUUCAAGCAAAAAAUAAACAAAUAACUUUUCUCCAAGAAGAAAUUAAUUUCAAAAGAAUUGAAAAUCAACUCCAAAAUUCUUUUCUUCAGCAAAAGAUCAAAACUUUUGAAGAAAAAAUAAUCAAAGAAAUAUGUUCUGAUAUUCCUACAGCCUUUUAGCACAAGAAAAAACAUAUUGUCUCACUACCCUACAUCAAAGAAUUCAAUGAGAAAAAUAUCCCUACUAAAGCUCGUCCAAUCCAAAUGAGUCACGAAAUUAUGGAUUUCUGUAAAAACGAAAUUAAUGAUUUACUCAACAAAAAUAUUAUUCGCCCUAGUAAAUCCCAUUGGUCUUGCCCAGCUUUCUAUGUUCAGAAAAAUGCUGAACUCGAAAGAGGAACUCCUCGACUAGCUAGUUAUUAAUUACAAACCCCUUAAUACAGUUUUAGAAUGGAUCAGGUAUCUCAUUCCCAAUAAACGAGAUCUUAUUAACAGGUUAAACAAAUCUGUUAUCUUUAGUAAAUUUGAUAUGAAAUCAGGAUUUUGGAAAAUUCAAACCAGUGAAGCUGACAAAAAUAAAACUGCAUUUGUCACACCCUUUGGUCAUUAUGAAUGGAAUGUUAUGCCAUUUGGAUUAA
rnacentral:lncRNA from 1 species